rnacentral:rRNA from 1 species
UACGAAGGGGGCUAGCGUUGCUCGGAAUCACUGGGCGUAAAGCGCACGUAGGCGGGUCUUUAAGUCAGGGGUGAAAUCCUGGAGCUCAACUCCAGAACUGCCUUUGAUACUGGCGAGCUUGAGUCCGGGAGAGGUGAGUGGAACUGCGAGUGUAGAGGUGAAAUUCGUAGAUAUUCGCAAGAACACCAGUGGCGAAGGCGGCUCACUGGCCCGGUACUGACGCUGAGGUGCGAAAGCGUGGGGAGCAAACAGG